ACUUGCCUUAGUAUGUUUCACACCAAGUGUGUCAUAUCCCCUUUUGAUUUUGGUGUUUUGUUUGUCUACCACCAAAAUAAUUUGAUAAAAUAAAACAUUUCUCACAGAUUUGAAGCAUCAGAGAACAAAAAUAUAUUUAGACUUUUUUGAAUUCAGUACUGGUCAAACAAGAAUUUAAAGUUUUAGUGAACAUUUGACCCACAAACAAACUAUUUUAAUUGAUAACAUAUAACAAAAAAAUAUAAAUAAAACAAAAACAUCUCUUCAUAGGCUAAGCAUAAGAACACAGGCCAUCACGUUUUACUUAUAAUUACUACAUGCCAAUCUUAACACAUCCUACAAUAUUACACAUCACUGUGUUAUGACACUCUCCACCCAGAACCCAAUUCUGUAUAAAAUGGUUUUGCACAGAACAAACCAGCAAUGAGCAACACCAGAGUCACAUGUUUCUUUACAGCUCACUGCAAGCAGACAAUGUUUCUUUUCUCUUCUUCUAAUGAGAGACACAAGGCGACUGCAAGGUCAUUACGCAGGUCAGAUGCUGCUAACACGGACUGACUUUAGACAGAAAAUCACCUCUAUUAAAAUAAUAAUAACAAUAACCACAAAACUACUACACAGUGAGAGUUGUUCGUUUAAAUAUUUAGAGUGUGAAGAGCUUAAAAAACAUAAAUUAGACCACAAUGCUUGCAUUGAGCUUAAAAAAUAUUUACAUUUAGUCAUUUAGCAGAUGCCUUUAUCCAAAGUGACUUACAGAUGAUGCAGCAAAUGAAACAGCAAUAAUAUAAUAUGUAUGCAAACAUUUAUGUGGUUGAAUUAUAAGGCCAUUAUGGGUUUUAUUCAAAUAUACCCCAUUCAAAUCAGAAACUCUGUUGAGAUCAAGUUGGCUGGUUCAAAAGGCAUGACAACAUCCUGAGGGGAUACAGUGUGUCUAACGUGCCACGACACUGCAGUUGCACUCCUCCUCCGUUACUCUACGGGGGAUGUUGUACAGCUCGCGCUCCCACAAAGCUUUGCAGGAGACCAUACAAUGAAAUUUGGUGCGUUUUUUUUUUUUUUCAUUUCGGCGCCAUUUUCGAUUGGACCCGAGCAACAUUUGAGUAAGCCAGCGGAAGAAACCAGCAGAUCUGAAGGGAAUGUACUAUAGCAGCACAUAAAUACUGGAGGUGAAUGUGGUGUUAUCCAGUAUUGCUGUUCUGCUGUAGUAAGACCUGUCAGCACUUACAGACUCCAAAGAGCCACACCAGAUCCUUGGCCGAGAGCUGACUGUGCCCCUGCAUGUAUGUGGUGGAAAAACACUACCUGUCUGUACUCUAGAUAAACAAUGCUGUCAAAUAAAAUCAACAGUGAGCUAAAUGAUCUGAUUUCAUUACGCGUACCUGAUGUUAUUUCUGAAAAUACUGUAAAAGCAAGAACAAUAUUACGUUUAUUCUGAUAUUUAUUCCUAAAACACACUUCUUGAUAAUGUGACCUGUUCAACGAUGUCAGUCAUGACUUUGAAAAGAGAAGUUAGGAGAACACGUAAAACUCUUUGAAUAAUUUAAUCCCAUUUAAGAUUGACAGGUGACUGAACAAUGGUGAUAUUUUGAUAAGUUUUUCAUUCAUUUUCAUAUUCACCGUAUUUAUAUGGUAGCAUUCAAUUACCAUACAAGGCACCAUACGAUUUUUUCCCCCCAAUUCAUUUCACUCUCAUUAAUAUAAUUAUAGUAACCAAAACUACAGCAAGUGGACACAAUUAAAUAUCUUGACUGGAGAAUUAAACAAAUACAAAUUUGUUUAAAAUCAAUAAUAAAAACAAGGAGGUGCUAAUUGACUUUAAAAUGUCAAUACAUUUGAAAUGAGUACAUUCAGGUGAAAAAGCAUUCAACAUAUUUUAUAUAAUCAUUAUGCUCACUGAUUUUAAUCAGGGUUUAAAUUACAGUUGCAAAUAGUCUUUGGGAAACAUGAAUGCUCUUCUUUUGCUACCAAGUGAGCAGGUCAAAUUCACAUAUUGAUGUUCACUAUUGAAUAGCAAAGCAAGAUGACCUAAAAUCAAUAUUUUGUUUAAUCUAUCUUAAAACACG